GUGUGGCUCCGCCACAAAAUCAAGCAAUCCCUGUCCUUUACGGAAAAACAACAAAUUUCACCCAAAAGAACGGCUAACUUCACCCAUCCCAACUGUCAUUCCGCACAGGCACUCUCUUUCUCUGAGUGAUCCAUAGGCGUCGGGCUCAACCAGGGUCGUCGCGGGGAAGUGUGGGCACCCAGAGAACGACGCACCAUGUAAUUUUGCAGGAUGUAUGGGCGUCGGCCAAAACUUGAGGUCUCGCGAAUAUCGGCACCGCUAAGCAUGUCCUUUCUGUCUGUGAUCUCGUUAGAGAAAAGAAGUGCGCGUCUUGUGUCGUUAAAAGUACAAAAUACAAAAACGCAUUAAAAAGAACGAUAAGUAGUACGGUGCAAAUAAUAAAAUGCGGAAAUAGUACGCUAAAGAAAUGUUAAAAGAACAAACUAUUGUGAACAUUGAACCGAACAAAUACACGCCACAAAGAAAAGGUAAAUUAUUGUAAAACAAAAACAAAACCAUUUGUAAGCCACGUGGACGAUUAUAUUUGCUGGUAUUAUAACCCUACUUGGCAGGUCCAAGAGGGCCUUUUCUUGUUUAUAUGCUUGUUCUCCAGCUACAUCAUCCCGUUAAAACGCACAGCGACACAAAUAACCCGAUCAAAAAGCAGACAGAAAGAUGCCAACAUCUUAACCUUACUCGCCACUUCAAGGUUACUGACGAAGUCCUCCCGGUGCAUGACAACAGGCCGGUAUUGUCAACAACAAGGAUCAGGCUCUUCCGGGACGCCGGAAAGAGCUCUGUCAAGGACUACUCUCGUCGUUUGCAACAACAACAACAACAACAUCGAUCGAUGGAAAUCCAUCGAAAUAUCGUUCGUCGGUUCCGCUGCAAAGGGCAGCUUCAAGCAAAGCGCUGUGAGAAAAAUUCUAACCGCAAGUAUACUCUAAGAAAAUUGUGACGUCACUAUCAAAAGUUGUAAAAAUA